rnacentral:rRNA from 1 species
CCAAGGAGUCUAACAUGUGCGCGAGUCAAUGGGGAUCUCUCGAGACCCACGGGCGCAAUGAAAGUGAAGGUAUAUUUCUUCCUUUUCGGUUUCGGCCGAAAUGCGAAAAGAUUUUNCCGAGGCGGGAUCCGUCCCAUAAAUAGCUGUAAAAAGAAACAAAAUAUGGGCGGCGCACCGUCGGCCCGUCGCGAACGCAACGUCGUUGCGGCGGAGCAUGAGCGUACACGUUGGGACCCGAAAGAUGGUGAUCUAUGCCCGGGCAGGACGAAGCCAGAGGAAACUCUGGUGGAGGUCCGUAGCGAUUCUGACGUGCAAAUCGAUCGUCGGACCUGGGUAUAGGGGCGAAAGACUAAUCGAACCGUCUA